rnacentral:rRNA from 1 species
GACGAACCAUGCAAACGUUAUUCGGAUUCACUGGGCUUAAAGCGUGCGUAGGCGGUCUUGUUAGUCAGGUGUGAAAGCCCUCAGCUCAACUGAGGAAUUGCGCUUGAUACUGCAUGACUAGAGAAUGAUAGAGGUGGGUGGAACUGAUGGUGGAGCGGUGAAAUGCGCAGAUAUCAGGAGGAACACCGGUGGCGAAGGCGGGUCUCUGGGCCGAUACUGACGCUGAGGAGCGAAAGCGUGGGGAGCGAACAGG